rnacentral:rRNA from 1 species
AUUGAACGCUGGCGGCAGGCCUAACACAUGCCAGUCGAACGGUAACAGGAAGAAGCUUGCUUCUUUGCUGACGAGUGGCGGACGGGUGAGUAAUGUCUGGGAAACUGCCUGAUGGAGGGGGAUAACUACUGGAAACGGUAGCUAAUACCGCAUAACGUCGCAAGACCAAAGAGGGGGACCUUCGGGCCUCUUGCCAUCGGAUGUGCCCAGAUGGGAUUAGCUAGUAGGUGGGGUAACGGCUCACCUAGGCGACGAUCCCUAGCUGGUCUGAGAGGAUGACCAGCCACACUGGAACUGAGACACGGUCCAGACUCCUACGGGAGGCAGCAGUGGGGAAUAUUGCACAAUGGGCGCAAGCCUGAUGCAGCCAUGCCGCGUGUAUGAAGAAGGCCUUCGGGUUGUAAAGUACUUUCAGCGGGGAGGAAGGGAGUAAAGUUAAUACCUUUGCUCAUUGACGUUACCCGCAGAAGAAGCACCGGCUAACUCUGUG